rnacentral:rRNA from 1 species
AUUGCCCUAGUAACGGCGAGUGAAGCGGCAACAGCUCAAAUUUGAAAUCUGGCGUCUUUGGCGUCCGAGUUGUAAUUUGCAGAGGGCGCUUUGGCAUUGGCAGCGGUCCAAGUUCCUUGGAACAGGACGUCACAGAGGGUGAGAAUCCCGUACGUGGUCGCUAGCCUUUACCGUGUAAAGCCCCUUCGACGAGUCGAGUUGUUUGGGAAUGCAGCUCUAAAUGGGAGGUAAAUUUCUUCUAAAGCUAAAUACUGGCCAGAGACCGAUAGCGCACAAGUAGAGUGAUCGAAAGAUGAAAAGCACUUUGGAAAGAGAGUUAAAAAGCACGUGAAAUUGUUGAAAGGGAAGCGCUUGCAGCCAGACUUGCCUGUAGUUGCUCAUCUAGGUUUCUACCUAGUGCACUCUUCUAUAGGCAGGCCAGCAUCAGUUUGGGCGGUUGGAUAAAGGUCUCUGUCAUGUACCUCUCUUCGGGGAGAACUUAUAGGGGAGACGACAUGCAACCAGCCUGGACUGAGGUCCGCGCAUCUGCUAGGAUGCUGGCGUAAUGGCUGUAAGCGGCCCGUCUUGAAACACGGACCAAGGAGUCUAACAUCUAUGCGAGUGUUUGGGUGUCAAGCCCGAGCGCGUAAUGAAAGUGAACGGAGGUGGGAACCUUUCGGGGUGCACCAUCGACCGAUCCUGAUGUCUUCGGAUGGAUUUGAGUAAGAGCAUAGCUGUUGGGACCCGAAAGAUGGUGAACUAUGCUUGAAUAGGGUGAAGCCAGAGGAAACUCUGGUGGAGGCUCGCAGCGGUUCUGACGUGCAAAUCGAUCGUCAAAUUUGGGCAUAGGGGCGAAAGACUAAUCGAACUAUCUAGUAGCUGGUUCCUGCCGAAGU